GUAGGUGGCAAGCGUUGUCCGGAAUUAUUGGGCGUAAAGCGCGCGCAGGCGGUUCUUUAAGUCUGAUGUGAAAGCCCACGGCUCAACCGUGGAGGGUCAUUGGAAACUGGAGAACUUGAGUACAGAAGAGGAAAGCGGAAUUCCACGUGUAGCGGUGAAAUGCGUAGAGAUGUGGAGGAACACCAGUGGCGAAGGCGGCUUUCUGGUCUGUAACUGACGCUGAGGCGCGAAAGCGUGGGGAGCAAACAGGGAUUAGAUACCCUGGUAGUCCACGCCGUAAACGAUGAGUGCUAAGGGUUAGGGGGUUUCCCGCCCCUUAGUGCUGCAGCUAACGCAUUAAGCACUCCGCCUGGGGAGUACGGCUGCAAGGCUG
rnacentral:rRNA from 1 species